UGGUCAAGCCCUUGAGUAAUAGACCUUC
rnacentral:piRNA from 1 species